rnacentral:tRNA from 1 species
GCGAGUGUAGCUCAGUUGGUUAGAGCACCAGAUUGUGGAUCUGGGGGUCGCCGGUUCGAACCCGGUCACCCGCCCCA